UAUGUUUCAUUUCUCUCCUGGUUUGUCUGGAAACCUCACACUGGCUCUUCUGGUUCCUUGGCUGAAAUACUAGUAUAUACUGCAGUACAAGGAGAGACUCACAAAGCUAGGUGUAUCAGGAUUCCACCUCUCUGACAAACUUGCAGCUAAGAGAUGCUGAGAAUCAUCACCAUCCUACUCGUCACUCUGGCCUUGAAUUCUGUGUACAUCCAGGGACAUGGAAAAGUCGCAGGAACAAAGAAAUGCCAUUUGCAGCAUCAAGUUUGGAGGGAAUGUGGAAGCUCCUGCCCAAGGAAUUGUGAAAAUUAUCUAGCCCCUAAAGCCUUCUGCUCCAUGAGCUGCGUCCCUGGCUGCUUCUGCCGCGUUCCAUUCAUAUUUUAUAAAGGAAAUUCUGGAAUCUGCGUUCUCCCCAAGAAAUGCUGAGAUGGCAACAUGCACAGUACAUCGCCUUCCUAAUGGGUAAAAGUCGGGUUACCGCGACAUUUCUGCUAUAUUGCAGCUUCCUGCGAAAAUAAGAAAAAAACAUCUUGGCUGAUGUGAAAAAAUGUUACUCUGCUUUUUUUUUUGUGACCGCCCGUAAAUGCCACCACAACAGUACCCACAGGGUUAGUCAGAGAGCAUUUUGUAUUAGUUUAGAGUGUCUUCCCUGGGUCUGUAUUUAGGCGAUUUGGUUUGUGGUCUGUAUUUGUUUAAAAACCCCUUAGUGACCACACGCAUUUUUUUUUAAUUGCUAUAACUUUUUAGUUUUUUUUAUCAAUGUACUUGUAUGAAGUCUUAUUUUUUGCAGGACAAGUUAUAGUUUUAAUGCACCAUUUUGGGUACAUGUAAUAAUUGAUUAAAGUCAGUUGUUUAGCUAAACCCCCCUUUGUUUAUGUCAGUAAAAAGUCGUAUUAGUGGUCACUAAAGGGUUAAGGGGUGUCAGGUCUGGGGCCUGUUUUUAUUGUAAGAGUUGGUCUGGGGUGUGAAUCUAUUUGUGUUGCAAUGGUCAGGAGAAGUCAUCAUGGUGGCUUGGCUGGAUGGAGAAUAAAGAGAAUAAAAUGAUGUCUGUUAUAUUUUAUAAACGUAUAACUACCUGGAUGUCAGCGAAGAUAUGUAUCAGUUUACCGUGUUUAUUGUUGAUUGAUGCCAAUAAAGCCCUCCUAGUAUUAAAUCUA